rnacentral:pre_miRNA from 1 species
GUAGUAUUCCCUCCAUCCCAAAAUUCUUGUCUUACAUUUGUUUAGAUACAGAUGUAUCUAACACUAAAAUGUAACUAGAUACAUCCGUAUUUAGACAAAUUUAAGACAAGAAUUUUGGGACGGAGGGAGUA